rnacentral:tRNA from 7 species
AGGCCUUUGGCGCAAAGGUAGCGCGUCCGCCUCCUAAGCGGAAGGCUGUGGGUUCGAGUCCCAUGAGGCCUG